rnacentral:rRNA from 1 species
CUUAACAUUUAAGCUACCUCUUACCAAUUUUGUCUGAGCAAAAAGCUAAGCAGGGAUCAGGCCUGGCUAGUACAUGGAUGGGAUACAUUUGAGAAUACAAGGUGUUGUAAUGA